UGGUGAGGUGCUCGCGGCGGAGGCGGGCGUGGCCGCGCUGGGGGAAGGUGGUGUUGGUGGUGGUCGCCGGGCUGAGGGUAGAGAGGCGCUAAUGUGUGGGUGCUGGUGAGGGUGGCAGCCCAAGACGUCACGGUGCGCGCCGCGGGGUCCUCCACCAUCAUCACGGACGUGAGGGAGCGCGCGCGGUGCAUCAGUGUUGCCACGGUGAUGGUGGUGGUGGGCAUGAUACAGAUGCGGGAGCUGGAGUUUGUGCCCAAUGGAGACAUGCAGCUGGGCAAAUUCUGUUGCUCAUUGCUCAGACUGGAGUUUACAUGUAUACCUCCUUCACCAUCAUUGGUGGACACUUCACCAUGAGUGAUGCUUGAGCUGUCACGGUGCUGCUGCUGUUGUCUGCCAUCAUCCCCCUGACACAGACCACCCUGCAGACCACCUUCAUCCUGGGUGCCACACGUCACUGCUGCUACAACUCAGAGCAACUGGAGCGCAAGCCAGGAAGGGAGAUAGUAACUUUUCACUUAAUUUGUUGUUUAUUUGAGGGCCUAAUGACAGACACAUAAUGGAAUGAGUAUUUGUGAAUGUUUGUUUAUAUCUAGAUACAGCAUUCACAUAUCUUUUAAGUGCCACCUUCCAAAAACAAUGUCAGCCAGAAAAAUAACUGAUGAAUCUAAUUACAUUUCAAGUCAAAAAGUUUUCCUUUAACCACUUUGCUCCAGAUGCUUAAAAACAUGCGUUGCUCACAUACAUGGCGUCGCGUAGGCUCGUGAGUGGUAACUUAUCUAAUUUCUAAUAAUUUCUAAUAUAAUUUCUGUGUGUGUGUGUGUGUGUGUGUGUGUGUGUGUGUGUGUGUGUGUGUGUGUGUGUGUGUGUGUUUUAUGUAUGAGUGACACUGGCCAAGGGCAACAAAAAUCCAAUAAAAAAAUAUGCCCACUGAAAUGGCAGUCCCAUAAAAGGGUCAAAGCAGUGGUCAAAAGUUGAUGAAUAAGUGUCUUGAAACCUCCCUCUUGAAGGAAUUCAAGUCAUAGGAAGGUGGAAAUACAGAAGCAGGCAGGGAGUUCCAGAGUUUACCAGAGAAAGGGAUGAAUGAUUGAGAAUACUUGUUAACUCUUGCAUUAGAGAAGUGGACAGAAUAGGGGUGAGAGAAAGAAGAAAAUCUUGUGCAGCGAGGCCGUGGAAGGAGGGGAGGCAUGCAGUUAGCAAGAUCAGAAGAGCAGUUAGCAUGAAAAUAGCGGUAGAAGACAGCUAGAGAUGCAACAUUGCGGCAGUGAGAGAGAGGCUGAAGACAGUCAGUUAUGUUUGUGUGUGUGUGUGUGUGUGUGUGUGUGUGUGUGUGUGUGUGUGUGUGCUGAUGCAGCUGAGAAGGUUGCCUUAUGAUAAUUAUUGACAAAUGAAGGUAAUGGAUGCGCAUGUCAUUACUACUUUUUUAAGUGUGUGUGUUAUGUACACACACACACACACACACACACACACACACACACACACACACACACACACACACACACACACACACACAAAGAGAAGUAAUAGACACGCAUCCUUUACCUUCAUUCAUCAAUAAUUGUCAUAAGACGACCUUCCCAGCUGCAUCAUUACACACACACACACACACACACACACACACUUACACACCACGUAGUGUAGUGGUUAGCACGCUCGGCUCACAACCAAGAAGGCCCAGGUUCGAAUCCCGGGCACGGUGAGGCAGAUGGACAAGCCUCUUAAUGUGUAGCCCUCUUAAUGUGUAGCCUCUUAAUGUGUAGGUACAGGAUGUAACCCGAGGUGAUGUGACUUUGCUGCCCCGGUGUGUGGUGUGUCAUUGGCCUCAGUCCUACCCAAAGAUCAGUCACCAUGAGCUCUGAGCUCUUACACACACACACACACACACACACACACACACACACACACACACACACACACACACACACACACACACACACAGAGAGAGAGAGAGAGAGAGAGAGAGAGAGAGAGAGAGAGAGAGAGAGAGAGAGAGAGAGAGAGAGAGAGAGAGAGAGCAAAAUGGCAAUGAAUGAAACAGGGAGGAGGGGGAACUGUGUGUGAAGGAAAACAUCAUCUACGUGAAACAUUUGAUUGAUUAUAAAGCACAUGUGCAUCAUAUAUAGUCAUGAAUGUGGAGGAACAGCAGAGUGAGUGAUCAACCACAGAAAGGAGAGAGUCGGACAUGCGGAGAGAAUGGAAGGGGAACAAUUUGAGAAGAUAAGCAUGCAAAUACAUAAAUAUAAGGUGGAAUAACAGUGUUUGGUGGGAAGAUGAAAGAGAGAUGCCUGUUUAUGAAGCAAAAUGGUUGUGCAAGAGAGGAAUGAUUGGAAAACCAUUCCCACCAAAGCCAACAGACCUUACACCAUAUUUUUACAAACCACAGCAUCUCUAUUCAUCCAUUCUGUGUGUCUUCUCUUCUCUCUCUCUCUCCACUCUUAAUGCUGCUGUGGGUCUCUGGGCUGGAGUACAUCAGAGAAAGAUUGACACCGACUUAUAUAUGAGAGGAUGUUGUCUGUAACUAUGCUAUGGGGACAUUGCAAGUUUGUGGGGUGUAGUGAAUGAAUAAGUGUGUCCUCUAUAGCAUACUUAAAAACCACACUCUCACAUGGAAAUCAAUCUCUCUCUCUCUCUCUCUCUCUCUCUCUCUCUCUCUCUCUCUCUCUCUCUCUCUCUCUCUCUCUCUCUCUCUC